ensembl:lncRNA
AUGUCUCAGUCCGGUAAAGUUCUGCAUCUGUAUGUGGAGGUGAGAGCUGCCUCAGAGCAUGAUGGGAAAGAGUGUUCGGGCGGGGAGUCCGUCACUGCCGAGGAGGUCGCCGCGGAGAUGCUGACUCACUUGGCCAGCGUCGCCGGCGGCAACAACACAUCAUCUGCAGGGACUCCCAAACACCCCUGCAAAACCGCGGUCAGCUUCCAGCUGCAGCAGUCUGGAGAUGCCGCAGGCGCACGCACCCCUUACCCCCCGCUCCGGCAGAUGCAUUCUGGGAUGGAGGGGGACUGCUCGGUCAGCAAGACCCCCCAGCAUUUCCAUGUGCCACCCCCCUCCCCUUCCCCUUGCCCCCGGCAGCAGCAGCAGGUGUGUCAGGAUGGCGCCCCCUCUGGUGGCAAGCGGUCGGUGGUGACCUUCAGCUACGUGGAGAAGGCCAACAUCAAGACCGUGGAGACACCUCUGUGCCCCAGUGGAGGGGCCGACGAGGAGUGCUCCACCCCUUCGUACGUCCGCAAGAGGCUCAGCGACCCCGUCUGGUUCGGGAGUCCGGACUCCUCGUGCAGCAACAGCCCCAAGCAUCCCUUCCGGGGCCUCGGACGGGGCGGUUGCCAAGCGACGGCCGGCUCCCCCGGCGGCCGGCGCUCGACGCUGGACUCGGCCGUCGGCCGCGCCGCCACCCAGAGAGCACUCGAGGACUUCGGCUCGCCGCUGCUGAGGUGUCGCUUCGCCCACGAGCUCGAGCGCGGGCACGGAUACAGGCGCGGGUACGCAUUCGGCUACGGCUCGCCCCAGCACCAACACGGCCACGCUCGGUGCCAGUCUUGGGCCGGGUCGCCGGUUCCGGCCCGAAGCGCCUGCGUCCUCCCGGCGGAUCCCCACAAGCACGCCGGCGCGUGUGUGCUUCCCAGAAGCCCUGCAUCGGACCAGCUCUCUUCUCAGGCCAGCAAGGCGGUUCCGAACAAGACCCAAACCCAAACCACCAGACCCGGGUCCUACGCCGAUCCCCAUCCCCACCCCGGGGUGGUCCACAGCAGACAGGCAUCCACGAGCAGCUGCAGCCCCAUCGCCCAGACGACCACCACCGGGAGCGCCGACACCCCCAGCUGUGGGCACAAGGCCAGCCAGGGCUUCGUCAGCCGCCUGGCAGAGGGCAUGAACCAGCUGAGCCGGAGUCUGGGGAUGUCGCCGUCGCCCGCCAACAGCCCGGAGGUGGCGCGGAAGCUCGCCGAGGAGGCCACUAGGGUGUCGGAGAUUUUUAAUGAAGUCAGGAGCUCGACGCCUCCUCCCCCAAAUGCACUGAGUGGCCCCACGGAGGGCUGUGGUCUUAAGUACCUGCACACGUCUCACAAGUACGCCGCCGCGACGCCUCCUUCCUCAUCGCAGCGCCAGCGCCAGGCAAUAACCAUGAACAUCCCUGUUUGUGGCAGUGGGGAGGAGUCCAACCUGACCAAUGAGCAUCACCAGCCAAACAAAACCCCGCCUUUCACUCCCUCUUCAGCACAGGGGCCCGUACAAUCACCAGCCAAUCACACGAGAGCGCAGGGAGCAGCCCCGCCCACUCUCUCCACGGUGCAAUACUCGGUCUUACCAGCAGGGGGAGCCCCAGUGUCCCCCGCCAUCCCAUCUCGUCUCCUCCGUCCAGCCUUACCUGAGGGGGAGGCCUGCUCGCCCAUGAGGGACCCCAGGCAGCAGCGGCAGUGUGACCUCCAGCCUGCAAACAGCCCCACACUCCAUCGGCGGCAGCCUCCACAGUACAUGGGUGACUCUCGGUUCGCCUGCCCGGAGCGGGGCACCGUCCUGGGCUGCGAGCCGGCCGCAGGCGGCCUGGGCGGGGACGGGGACGGAGGCGUGGAGGUGGCGCGGAGACUCUUCCUGAGCCAGGCGGUGGAGGAGACGCCCGUCAGCUGGACGUCCAGGGAGGAGGAGUGGGGCAACCCGGCUAAGAUGGGGGAAGCAGACGAGAGGACAACGGAGGAGGAGGAGGAGGAGGAGGAGGAGGAAGGAGACCGUAAGAGGAAAGAGGACGGAGAAUCCGUCCAGACUCAGAUCCAAACGCAGAGCCUGGUUCUGCUGAGCCCGACCCACGUGCGUCUGCUGAAGCAGGCGGAGCAGAGGAGGAGGGAGACCCUGCUGCUGGGGCCUGUAGCUUUGGAGCUCCACAGGGAGGAGGAGAAGCAGGAGGUCGGGGUCACGGGGAGGUCAGAGGUCAGGGAGGGGGCAGGGGUCGGAGCGGGGGGCUGCUGA